GAGCGAACGCUGGCGGCAGGCCUAACACAUGCAAGUCGAGCGGCCGUAGCAAUACGGCAGCGGCAGACGGGAUAGUAACACGUGGGAACGCGCCCUUCGGUUCGGAAUAACUCAGGGAAACUUGAGCUAAUACCGGAUACGCCCUUACGGGGAAAGAUUUAUGCCGAAGGAACGGCCCGCGUCGGAUUAGCUAGUUGGUGAGGUAAUGGCUCACCAAGGCGACGAUCCGUAGCUGGCUGAGAGGAUGACCAGCAUCACUGGGACUGAGACACGGCCCAGACUCCUACGGGAGGCAGCAGUGGGGAAUAUUGGACAAUGGGCGCAAGCCUGAUCCAGCCAUGCCGCGU
rnacentral:rRNA from 1 species